rnacentral:tRNA from 1 species
GCCUGGAUGGCUCAGUUGGUUAAGCAUCUGACUUCAGCUCAGGUCAUGAUCUCACGGUUCAUGAGUUCGAGCCCCAUAUUGGGCU